rnacentral:rRNA from 1 species
GUCUGUGUCCAUACAUCCUUGAGCACUACUAAUCUCAGAUGCUAAUCAGGGUCAGGCCUGGUUAGUACCUGGAUGGGAGACAUUACUCCAUCUCAUCAUACCAGAACUUCAAGUGGAACUGAGG